AGGAGAGGAAUGAAGGUCAGUAGAACCACCAAGACAGAAUACAUGUGUGUGAAUGAGAGGGAGGUCAGUGGAAUGGUGAGGAUGAGGGAGUAGAGCUGGUGAAGGUGGAGGAGUUUAAAUAUUUGGGAUCAACAGUACAGAGUAAUAGGGAUUGUGGAAGAGAAGUGAAGAAUAGAGUGCAGGCAGGGUGGAGUGGGUGGAGAAGAGUGUCAGGAGUGAUUUGUGACAGACGGGUAUCAGCAAGAGUGAAAGGGAAGGUCUACAGGACGGUAGUGAGACCAGCUAUGUUAUAUGGGCUGGAGACGGUGGCACAGGAGACAGAGCUGGAGGUGGCAGAGUUAAAGAUGCUAAGAUUUGCAUUGGGCGUGAUGAGGAUUGAUAGGAUUAGAAAUGAGAACAUUAGAAGGUCAGCUCAAGUUGGACGGUUGGGAGACAAAGUCAUAGAGGUGAGAUUGCGUUGGUUUGGACAUGUGCAGAGGAGAGAUGAGGGGUAUAUUGGGUGAAGGGUGCUAAUGAUAGAGCUGCCAGGCAAGAGGAGAAGAGGAAGGCCUAAGAGAAGGUUUAUGGAUGUGGUGAGAGAGGACAUGCAGGUGAUGGGUGUGACAGAACAAGAUGACGAGGACAGAAAGAGAUGGAAGAAGAUGAUCUGCUGUGGCAACUCCUAACGGGAGCAGCAGAAAGAAGAAGAAGAAGAU